UUGAUAAAAAUAGUUUUUUAUAAAGUUAUUUAGAAAAAUAUAAAUUUAAUAGUAGUGUAAACGAAAUAAUUUUUAAACUAUAGAUAAUAAGUACUGUUAAGGAAAUAUUGAAAUAAAUGAAAAUUUUUCAUAAAAAAAGUUCUUUUUAAGAGAGGUACCUUUUGUAUUAGUGGUUAUUAAAAUAAUAUUAUAAAAUUUUUUCUCGAAAAUAAAAGAUCUAAGUAAAUUAAAAAGUUUUUGUGUCAAAAAAAUUUUAUAAAUUUAUUUAGGUGUGAAAUUCUAAUCGCUUUUAUUAAUAUCUAGUUGCUUUAGAAAUAAAUUUAGUUUAGAAUGUUUAGAAUAAACCUUAUUUUAAGGUGAUUUUAAAAUCAUUUUUAGAUUUUAGGGGAUGAGCUCUAAAAUUUUUUAUAAGAGUAAAUUUAGAUUGCUUUUUUCAUAGGCUUAGAAUUAGCCAUUUGAAAGUGUUUUAAAAUAAAAUUUUAAGUUUAAGAUUUAAUACUCUUUUAUUUAUAUAAAGCAAAUUUCAAAAUUUUUGAAAAAGUGAAAAUAUGAUAACAUUAGUAGAUAGAUAUAUAAGGAAUUUAUUUUAAAAUUUUCUAUAUAAUUUAAAAAAAUUAAUUUAACAAAAGAACUCGGCAAAUAAAAUUUCCGAAUGUUUAUCAAAAACAUUUCCUCUUAGUUUAAGAGGUAAGGCCUGCUCACUGAAUUAUUUUAAAGAGCCGCAGUAUCCUAACUGUGCUAAGGUAGCAUAAUCAUUAGUCUUUUAAUUGGAGACUGGUAUGAAUGGCUAAACGAGAAAUUGACUUUUUUUGUUAUAAAUAAUUGAAUUUAAUUUUUUAGUGAAAAAGCUAAAAUUAUUCAGAAAGACGAGAAGACCCUAUAGAGUUUUAUACUAAAUUGUUUAUUUUUCUUAUUUGAUUUUUUUGGAUAAAUAAAUGAAAAGUAUUUUGUUGGGGCGACAUUAAGAUAAAAAAAACUCUUUAUUUUUUUAAUUUUUAUAAAAAGAAAGUUUGAUCCUUUAUAAGAGAUUAAAAGAUAAAAUUACCUUAGGGAUAACAGCGUAAUCUUUUUUGAGAGUUCUAAUCGACAAAAAGGUUUGCGACCUCGAUGUUGGACUAAAAUUUAGGCAGGGUGCAGCAGUUCUGCUUUAAGGUCUGUUCGACCUAUAAUAUUUUACACGAUCUGAGUUCAGACCGGCGUAAGCCAGGUUGGUUUCUAUCUUCUGAUAUAUUAUUUUUUAACUUAGUACGAAAGGAUUGGUUAAUUAUAAUUAUUAUAUAUUUUUGAGUAUUAAUAAAAUUUUCUAU
rnacentral:rRNA from 1 species